ACAUUCUGGUUUCUCUUCAGACUGCAUAAAUCGUUCGCCUUUUACUAAAGAUUUCUGUGUAGAGGAACAUUAUGAGUAUCAAUUAAUUGUUUGAUGCCAUGCUUUAUGGGGGGCU
rnacentral:snRNA from 2 species